rnacentral:rRNA from 1 species
AUUGAACGCUAGCGGGAUGCCUUACACAUGCAAGUAGAACGGAGUGGCGAACGGGUGAGUAAUGUAUCGGAACGUACCCAGUAGCGGGGGAUAAAUACGCGAAAGCGUAGCUAAUACCGCCUGCUCUUGGAGCGGCCGAUAGCGGAUUAACUAGUGUGGUGGUGAACGGCUCACCAAGGCGACGAUCCGUAGCUGGUUUGAGAGUACGACCAGCCACACCGGGACUGAGCCACGGCCCAGACGCCUACGGGAGGCAGCAGUUGGGAAUGUUGGACAAUGGGGGAAACCCUGAUCCAGCCAUCCCGCGUGUGCGAUGAAGGCCUUCGGGUUGUAAAGCACUUUUGGCAGGAAAGCGGUACCUGCAGAAUAAGCACCGGCUAACUACGUGCCAGCAGCCGCGGUAAUUC